CACUCACCAGGAACAGUGGUUGCCUCUAGGAAUGAAAUGGGAUGACGGAAGACCUGGGGAGCAGUGGCAGGAGGAGACACUCAUGAUGCGCCUUUUGGCCAUAGUCACUGUCAUGGCUAAGAAAGCAACUCCAACCCACACACUGCAAAUAUGAAGGACCACAAAAGGCACGCAGGCUCUGGUUUGCAUAGUGAAGAUGAGCGACCGUG
rnacentral:lncRNA from 1 species